CAGAUUUUAAACCACCUUCCUAAAGGGUUCAUACUGCCAGAAGAGAUUGGAAUAAUUCUGAAGGGAAAGAGGAUCCUUAGGUUGGCCUGACAGAUAAAGACAUCAUCAUCAUCAUUGCCAUGAAGGUGAACAGAAGAUGUGGCAAGGCAGAAGAAUGGUUGACAAUCCGUAUGGCAGUAUGCCUGGCAGGAGGUGUCAAUUCCCUACCACAAAGGCUGCCCUCAGAUUCUUCUCCUAAGGAGAAAACAAGAGAAAUCAGACCACUCACAGGGACACAAUGUGGAAGAGGCAAAGGGCAAGCCUAAAGAGAAUAGCAGAGUAUAGUAUAGCACUGCAAAGAAUACAGUAUUCAUUCUCUGCUCUUGCCUCCCAGUGAUUUUGCUGCCUUGCCCUCUGUACUUUAUAUUCUUUAGCUAUUAAAGGAAUUAAAAAUUCAAUAAUGCACAUUAAAAACUGCAGCCUUGACCUGAAGGAAUGGAAAUAACUGUUGAGGGUCUCUAAACUUUCUCAGAGAAAGCACACAAGGACAUUUACAAACUUGCAAUUCAUAAAAGAGCAGCAAAUUAUUUCUUUAUUCUAUGCAUCUAUAAGGCUUGUGUUAUUUUUAUGCAGAAGGUCAAAUUAAUUCCACAUGUAAUUCAACAUAGCAAGUGAAGCUGCAUUGUGUCUUCAUAUGGCCAUACAGAUUACCUAGACUAUCAUUUAAAAAACAACUAAUUACCACAGUUAAAAAAUAUAUGUAAUAAAACAAAUUAACAUUUCAUCAUGUUCCUUCCUAUGGCACAUUAAAGCUGCAACUGUUUGUCUUCUACUACUCUGUCUUAAAUCUAUGACAGAGUAUUGGAAGUGUUUUUUGGCCUGUGGUUUGAGGAGGUGUUUGGAAUAUAUGUUCCAUGAAUGCUUCAGGACUAUCCUAUUUUUUGCAUGUGAUUGGAAAGGACUGGUUUUGGUAAUCUAGGUGGUCUGUUCUAUCCUAUGAUCUUAUCUUUUGGUUUUUCAAAGUCUUCAUCAUAUACUUUUCAAUAUAUCUUUCACACUCUUGGACUGGAUUGCUACUCUCAAACCGCUGAUGGAUAAAAUUUAACUGUUUGUUACAGAGAAAAAUGUCUGAAGUGUCAACUAGUCGGACAGUAUUCACUUCCAACAGUGGGAUAUCAAUCAGAAAAAGUGCAUCUCACCAUAGGUUAAAGAAACAUCUUUCUCCGUUUUGUGACUUUAGCUGUAUUUUGUUUCUAUUGAAAAAAGGUAUUUUUCUAUGUAAGGCAAGUAGUUACUACUGUAUCUGGCAUCUAUUUGAGACUCUAUCUGGUCAUCCUGAUUUAUCUUUGUCAAAUAGUAAGCCCUUUGGCUACAGCCUUAUUUUCCCCACAGGUGUAAAAAAUGUAAAACUGUAAUUUAUAAAACAGAAGAUGACAGAAUCCCAUUUGUACAAUACAUUUAGAUGCCAAAAGGUAAUCUUAUAACAAAUAACACAAUCUUCUCACAGCACUUGCUAUAUUAUUUUCCGGGUGGUCUAAAAAGUUGAUUCAGAGAAUAAUGCCACAACAGCAACUCAUAGUUCCUAAGGCCAAAUAGCCAGAUGUGUCAAUAAUCAGUGCAAACUGGAAACAGAUGUACGUCCUCGUUGAAAACAAAUGUAAUGAAAAUACUUCCUUAGCUCUCUCAUGCUUUCACACACACAAGAAUUUAUGUCUUCCAUAUUUUUUAAUUGAAUUUAUUUGCCGCUUCAUUUUUAUGUCACCAGGAUCUCUUUCAAAAUCUUAGUCACUUCACAAUGAAGUAAUAAAGAUUAGUAUAUCUGCAGCAAUUGCUUAAUAUCUGGUCGAAUAGGUUCUACCUGAUCAUUUUAUCAGCAAAAUUCCUUAUCACUGAGAUAAGAUGAAAACUGUUUAAGGCAGAUGUGAAGGCCAAGUCUGGGUACUCUCUUGCACCUGCAUAGUUUCUCAUGUGUAUGAAAGUAGAUGGUCUAUAGGAUUGAUAACACAGCUCAGACCACUAGCCAAAUCCCUGACAUGGCUAAAUAGACUUAAGUAUUAAGUGAAAGUAAAAACAUUCUUUCCUGAAUAUUUCAUGCUAUCAGGAUCUCUGUGAAACCUUGUAUAAAGCUACAUGUCCAAACCUGAUCUGUACCUUCAGUCCUUGCUUGAAAGUGAUGACAGAUCACUUGUGUGAAAAGCUACUUUAAAACAGAAUACCAUCUUCAAAACUGAAAAUAAAUACUUUGUGAGCUAAGAAUCCAGGUACUAUUUGCUUAGAUUGUGAUGUUCAGCACCAAAAAAAAAACCACCCACCCCAAAUUCUUUAAAAGGGAAAAGUCACAUUUUUCUCAACUAAAGUAGUUUGAAGCUUUUUGAUCAGUAUUUUACCCCAGAUAAAGGCAAUAUUUUUCACUAUGCAGAAAAUACAGCAUUAAUGUCAG